UACGUAGGGUGCAAGCGUUGUCCGGAAUUAUUGGGCGUAAAGAGCUCGUAGGCGGUUCGUCGCGUCGGCUGUGAAAACCUGAGGCUCAACCUCAGGCCUGCAGUCGAUACGGGCGGACUUGAGUACUGCAGGGGAGACUGGAAUUCCUGGUGUAGCGGUGAAAUGCGCAGAUAUCAGGAAGAACACCGGUGGCGAAGGCGGCUCUCUGGGCCUUACCUGACGCUGAGGAGCGAAAGCGUGGGUAGCGAACAGG
rnacentral:rRNA from 1 species